CCGUUGUCGUGUCUUGUGGAUUUAAGGUCGAUCCAGUGGCAAUUCCACGUGCCAAAAUCCUUUCUAAGAGUAUUAAAACCCGUUUCCGACAAUACAAAGAGAACACUUCUAGAAUGGAGACUUGGACAGGCAGUGGAGAGUUAAGUGAAGAUGGAAGAGAGUGGUUUUUAUCUCAUAAAUUUUCGAGGAUUUGGAAUGAAUUUA
rnacentral:lncRNA from 1 species